CCUACGGGGGGCUGCAGUGGGGAAUAUUGGACAAUGGGCGCAAGCCUGAUCCAGCCAUACCGCGUGGGUGAAGAAGGCCUUCGGGUUGUAAAGCCCUUUUGUUGGGAAAGAAAUCCAGCUGGCUAAUACCCGGUUGGGAUGACGGUACCCAAAGAAUAAGCACCGGCUAACUUCGUGCCAGCAGCCGCGGUAAUACGAAGGGUGCAAGCGUUACUCGGAAUUACUGGGCGUAAAGCGUGCGUAGGUGGUCGUUUAAGUCCGUUGUGAAAGCCCUGGGCUCAACCUGGGAACUGCAGUGGAUACUGGGCGACUAGAGUGUGGUAGAGGGUAGCGGAAUUCCUGGUGUAGCAGUGAAAUGCGUAGAGAUCAGGAGGAACAUCCAUGGCGAAGGCAGCUACCUGGACCAACACUGACACUGAG
rnacentral:rRNA from 1 species